GAUGAACGCUGGCGGCGUGCCUAAUACAUGCAAGUCGAGCGAACGGACGAGAAGCUUGCUUCUCUGAUGUUAGCGGCGGACGGGUGAGUAACACGUGGAUAACCUACCUAUAAGACUGGGAUAACUUCGGGAAACCGGAGCUAAUACCGGAUAAUAUUUUGAACCGCAUGGUUCAAAAGUGAAAGACGGUCUUGCUGUCACUUAUAGAUGGAUCCGCGCUGCAUUAGCUAGUUGGUAAGGUAACGGCUUACCAAGGCAACGAUGCAUAGCCGACCUGAGAGGGUGAUCGGCCACACUGGAACUGAGACACGGUCCAGACUCCUACGGGAGGCAGCAGUAGGGAAUCUUCCGCAAUGGGCGAAAGCCUGACGGAGCAACGCCGCGUGAGUGAUGAAGGUCUUCGGAUCGGAAAACUCUGUUAUUAGGGAAGAACAUAUGUGUAAGUAACUGUGCACAUCUGGACGGUACCUAAUCAGAAAGCCACGGCUAACUACGU
rnacentral:rRNA from 1 species